rnacentral:rRNA from 1 species
GACAGAGGUCCCGAGCGUUAGGCGGAAUCACUGGGCUUAAAGCGUGUGUAGGUGGAUGGCUAAGUACCUUGUGAAAUCCCACGGCUCAACCGUGGAACUGCUUGGUAUACUGGUCGUCUUGAGGCACUCAGGGGCGAGCGGAACAGAUGGUGGAGCGGUGAAAUGCGCAGAUAUCAGGAGGAACACCGGUGGCGAAGGCGGUUCUCUGGGCAUUACCUGACGCUGAGGAGCGAAAGUGUGGGGAGCGAACAGG